AUUGAACGCUGGCGGCAGGCUUAACACAUGCAAGUCGAGCGAGCGGCGGACGGGUGAGUAAUGUAUGGGAAACUGCCUGAUAGAGGUGGAUAACUACUGGAAACGGUAGCUAAUACCGCAUACUAUCAGAUGAACCCAUAUGGGAUUAGCUAGUAGGUGGGGUAAAGGCUCACCUAGGCGACGAUCUCUAGCUGGUCUGAGAGGAUGAUCAGCCACACUGGAACUGAGCCACGGCCCAGACUCCUACGGGAGGCAGCAGUGGGGAAUAUUGCACAAUGGGCGCAAGCCUGAUGCAGCCAUGCCGCGUGUGUGAAGAAGGCCUUAGGGUUGUAAAGCACUUUCAGCGGGGAGGCGUUACCCGCAGAAGAAGCACCGGCUAACUCCGUGCCAGCAGCCGCGGUAAUAC
rnacentral:rRNA from 1 species